GCCUCUGUGGUGUAGUUGGUUAUCACGUAGGUCUCAUAUCACUGAUAUGACAUUGGAGCAGCAACUCCAUUGAUAUCCUAAGGCCGGGAGUUCGAUCCUCCCCGGGGGCA
rfam:Aspergillus zonatus CBS 506.65 unplaced genomic scaffold ASPZOscaffold_4, whole genome shotgun sequence.